rnacentral:rRNA from 1 species
UGGGGAAUCUUCCGCAAUGGACGAAAGUCUGACGGAGCAACGCCGCGUGAGUGAAGACGGCCUUCGGGUUGUAAAGCUCUGUGAUCCGGGACGAAAGAGCCUGAGGUGAAUAGCCUAAGGAAGUGACGGUACCGGAAAAGCAAGCCCCGGCUAACUACGUGCCAGCAGCCGCGGUAAUACGUAGGUGGCAAGCGUUGUCCGGAAUUAUUGGGCGUAAAGCGCGCGCAGGCGGCUUCCUAAGUCCAUCUUAAAAGUGCGGGGCUUAACCCCGUGAUGGGAUGGAAACUGGGAAGCUGGAGUAUCGGAGAGGAAAGUGGAAUUCCUAGUGUAGCGGUGAAAUGCGUAGAGAUUAGGAAGAACACCGGUGGCGAAGGCGACUUUCUGGACGAAAACUGACGCUGAGGCGCGAAAGCGUGGGGAGCAAACAGG